GCGAUAGUGGUCCAACGGCUAUGAUCGGUGCUUCCCAAGCACCUGACCCGGGUUCGACUCCCGGCUAUCGCA
rnacentral:tRNA from 3 species